AGACGGGACCCGCACAAGCGGUGGAUGAUGUGGAUUAAUUCGAUGCAACGCGAAAACCUUACCUACCCUUGACAUGUCCGGAAUCCUGCAGAGAUGCGGGAGUGCCCGAAAGGGAAUCGGAACACAGGUGCUGCAUGGCUGUCGUCAGCUCGUGUCGUGAGAUGUUGGGUUAAGUCCCGCAACGAGCGCAACCCUUAUCAUUAGUUGCUACGCGAGGGCACUCUAAUGAGACUGCCGGUGACAAACCGGAGGAAGUGGGGAUGACGUCAAGUCCUCAUGGCCCUUAUGGGUAGGGCUUCACACGUCAUACAAUGGUCGGUACAGAGGGUUGCCAAGCCGCGAGGUGGAGCCAAUCCCAGAAAGCCGAUCGUAGUCCGGAUUGUUCUCUGCAACUCGAGAGCAUGAAGUCGGAAUCGCUAGUAAUCGCGGAUCAGCAUGUCGCGGUGAAUACGUUCCCGGGUCUU
rnacentral:rRNA from 1 species